rnacentral:misc_RNA from 1 species
AGUUAAACAGUACGUGAAAUUGUUGAAAGGGAAACGAUUAAAGUCAGUCGUACCUACGAGUAAUCAACCUACACGAGCGCGAUUUUGUGGGUAUGAAGAGGUAAAACCUUCAUGUUUGCAAAUUGGUGUUCUUUGGGCGUACUUUCUCGUAUGGUAGGUUAACAUCAAUUUCGAUCGUUAUAAAAUGACGGGAGGAAUGUAGCUUCGACUUCGGUUGAAGUGUUAUAGCCUCUGGUAGAUGUAAUGAUUGGGAUUGAGGAUUGCAACGGAUACUCUCUGGGCUAUUCGUCUGAUCUCUGGAAGUUACCUUGGUGUCGAAAGCGUGCUUAUGACAUUAAGAAUGACGGCCAAAAGGUUAGAACGGAAUUAAAUUCGUUAAGGAUGUUGACGUAAUGGCUUUAAA